UAACACUAACUGGAGGACCGAACCGACUAAUGUUGAAAAAUUAGCGGAUGACCUGUGGCUGGGGGUGAAAGGCCAAUCAAACCGGGAGAUAGCUGGUUCUCCCCGAAAGCUAUUUAGGUAGCGCCUCGUGAAUUCAUCUCCGGGGGUAGAGCACUGUUUCGGCUAGGGGGCCAUCCCGGCUUACCAACCCGAUGCAAACUGCGAAUACCGGAGAAUGUUAUCACGGGAGACACACGGCGGGUGCUAACGUCCGUCGUGAAGAGGGAAACAACCCAGACCGCCAGCUAAGGUCCCAAAGUCAUGGUUAAGUGGGAAACGAUGUGGGAAGGCCCAGACAGCCAGGAUGUUGGCUUAGAAGCAGCCAUCAUUUAAAGAAAGCGUAAUAGCUCACUGGUCGAGUCGGCCUGCGCGGAAGAUGUAACGGGGCUAAACCAUGCACCGAAGCUGCGGCAGCGACACUGUGUGUUGUUGGGU
rnacentral:rRNA from 1 species